GACGAACGCUGGCGGCGUGCCUAAUACAUGCAAGUAGAACGCUGAAGGAGGAGCUUGCUCUUCUGGAUGAGUUGCGAACGGGUGAGUAACGCGUAGGCAACCUGCCUGGUAGCGGGGGAUAACUAUUGGAAACGAUAGCUAAUACCGCAUAACAGUAGAUGUUGCAUGACAUUUACUUAAAAGGUGCAAUUGCAUCACUACCAGAUGGACCUGCGUUGUAUUAGCUAGUUGGUGGGGUAACGGCUCACCAAGGCGACGAUACAUAGCCGACCUGAGAAGGUGAUCGGCCACACUGGGACUGAGACACGGCCCAGACUCCUACGGGAGGCAGCAGUAGGGAAUCUUCGGCAAUGGACGGAAGUCUGACCGAGCAACGCCGCGUGAGUGAAGAAGGUUUUCGGAUCGUAAAGCUCUGUUGUAAGAGAAGAACGAGUGUGAGAGUGGAAAGUUCACACUGUGACGGUAUCUUACCAGAAAGGGACGGCUAACUACGUG
rnacentral:rRNA from 1 species